rnacentral:rRNA from 1 species
UGGGGAAUAUUGCACAAUGGAGGGAACUCUGAUGCUGCGACGCCGCGUGAGUGAUGAAGGAAUUCGUUUCGUAAAACUCUGUUCUAUGGGAAGAAAAGGACUGUACCAUAGGAGAAAGCUCCGGCUAAAUACGUGCCAGCAGCCGCGGUAAUACGUAUGGAGCGAGCGUUGUCCGGAAUUAUUGGGCGUAAAGGGUGCGCAGGCGGCUUUACAAGUUGGAUGUGAAAUAUUGUGGCUCAACCACAAACGUGCAUCCAAAACUGCAAAGCUUGAGUUAAGGAGAGGUAAGUGGAAUUCCUGGUGUAGCGGUGGAAUGCGUAGAUAUCAGGAGGAAUACCGGUGGCGAAGGCGACUUACUGGACUUAAACUGACGCUCAGGCACGAAAGCGUGGGGAGCAAACAGG